GACGAACGCUGGCGGCGUGCUUAACACAUGCAAGUCGAGCGGUAAGGCCCUUUCGGGGGUACACGAGCGGCGAACGGGUGAGUAACACGUGGGUGACCUGCCCUUAGCUCUGGGAUAAGCCUGGGAAACUGGGUCUAAUACCGGAUAUGACUCCAUGACGCAUGUUGUGGGGUGAAAGCCUUGUGCGGCUAGGGAUGGGCCCGCGGCCUAUCAGCUUGUUGGUGGGGUGAUGGCCACCAAGGCGACGACGGGUAGCCGGCCUGAGAGGGCGACCGGCCGACACUGGGACGUGAGACACGGCCCACGACUCCUACGGGAGGGCAGCAGUGGGGAAUCUUGCGCAAUGGGCGAAAGCCUGACG
rnacentral:rRNA from 1 species